UGCCAGACUCCUACGGGAGGCAGCAGUGGGGAAUAUUGCACAAUGGGGGGAACCCUGAUGCAGCGACGCCGCGUGAGCGAUGAAGUAUUUCGGUAUGUAAAGCUCUAUCAGCAGGGAAGAAAAUGACGGUACCUGACUAAGAAGCCCCGGCUAACUACGUGCCAGCAGCCGCGGUAAUACGUAGGGGGCGAGCGUUAUCCGGAUUCACUGGGCGUAAAGGGAGCGCAGGCGGCACGGCAAGUCCGGUGUGAAAGCCCGGGGCCCAACCCCGGGACUGCACUGGAAACUGCCGGGCUGGAGUGUCGGAGGGGCAGGCGGAAUUCCUAGUGUAGCGGUGAAAUGCGUAGAUAUUAGGAGGAACACCGGUGGCGAAGGCGGCCUGCUGGACGACGACUGACGCUGAGGCUCGAAAGCGUGGGGAGCAAACAGGAUUAGAUACCCCGGUA
rnacentral:rRNA from 1 species